GAUGAACGCUGGCGGCGUGCUUAACACAUGCAAGUCGAACGAACAUGUCUUUCGGGAUAUGUUAGUGGCAGACGGGUGCGUAACACGUGGGUGACCUGCCCUGGAGUGGGGAAUAACUAUCCUAACGGAUAGCUAAUACCGCAUAUGCUCGGUGGUUCGUUCCGCUGAGUAAAGUCGCAAGACGCUUUGGGAUGGGCCUGCGGCGGAUUAGGUAGUUGGUGGGGUAAUGGCCUACCAAGCCGAUGAUCCGUAGGGGCGUGAGAGCGCGGCCCCCCACACUGGCACUGAGAUACGGGCCAGACUCCUACGGGAGGCAGCAGUGAGGAAUAUUGCGCAAUGGGCGAAAGCCUGACGCAGCAACGCCGCGUGAGGGCGAAGGCCUUCGGGUCGUAAACCUCUUUUCUGGGGAAAGAGACAGGACGGUACCUCAGGAACUAAGUCUCGGCUAACUACGUG
rnacentral:rRNA from 1 species